rnacentral:rRNA from 1 species
GUAGGUGGCAAGCGUUGUCCGGAAUUAUUGGGCGUAAAGCGCGCGCAGGGCGGUCCUUUAAGUCUGACGUGAAAGCCCACGGGCUCAACCGUGGAGGGUCAUUGGAAACUGGGGGACUUGAGUACAGAAGAGGAAAGCGGAAUUCCAAGUGUAGCGGUGAAAUGCGUAGAGAUUUGGAGGAACACCAGUGGCGAAGGCGGCUUUCUGGUCUGUAACUGACGCUGAGGCGCGAAAGCGUGGGGAGCAAACAGGAUUAGAUACCCUGGUAGUCCACGCCGUAAACGAUGAGUGCUAAGUGUUAGGGGGUUUCCGCCCCUUAGUGCUGCAGCUAACGCAUUAAGCACUCCGCCUGGGGAGUACGGCCGCAAAGGCUG